rnacentral:rRNA from 1 species
GCGGGCCGUGAGAGCGGGAGCCCGGAGAUGGGCACUGAGACAAGGGCCCAGGUCCUACGGGGCGCAGCAGUCGCGAAAACUUUGCAAUACACGAAAGUGUGACAGGGUCAUCCCGAGUGCCGACCGCUGAGGUUGGCUUUUACCCAGUCUAGAAAGCUGGGGGAAUAAGGAGAGGGCAAGUCUGGUGUCAGCCGCCGCGGUAAUACCAGCUCUCCGAGUGGUGUGGACGUUUAUUGGGCCUAAAGCAUCCGUAGCUGGCUGAACAAGUCCCCUGUUAAACCCACCGAUUUAAUCGUUGGUCUGCGGGGGAUACUGCUCGGCUAGGGGACGAGAGAGGCAGACGGUAUUCCCGGGGUAGGGGUGAAUCCUAUAAUCCCGGGAAGACCCCAGUGGCGAGGCUGUCGGCUAGACGCGCCGA